GGGCGAAUAGCUCAGUUGGCUAGAGCACUGUCCUGAUAAGACAGGGGUCCCUGGUUCGAAUCCAGGUUCGCCCACCACCCC
rnacentral:tRNA from 1 species